UUAUUGGAGAGUUUGAUCCUGGCUCAGGAUGAACGCUGGCGGCGUGCCUAAUACAUGCAAGUCGAGCGGAUGGAUUAAGAGCUUGCUCUUAUGAAGUUAGCGGCGGAC
rnacentral:rRNA from 1 species